CGGCCCAGCGGGGGCUGGGCUUUUUUUUUUUUCUGAAGGUCAAAGGUGACGUCCUAACCAAACACCAUUAAUGCUACUUAAGCCGGGCCGGUUGUACGUGUUGGAAGAAGCCGAGGUGUGAGAACGGGGGGGGGAAGCAGAGAGCUCCCGUCCUGUGCUUUUAUCUAUCGCAGCAGGCUGUUCUCUCCAUCGACGUCCGCAUUCACAUACACAUUCAAAUGUGGACGGAGCGCGGUGGGUUCCUGCAUCCUGAGGACGUCUCUUACGUCUCCUGGUGUCUCCGUCGGAGCGGCGUUUGCGACGCCGCUUCUCUCCUACGGCCAGUUGCGCGGUAGCUGGUCUCCAACGCACCAGCAAGAAGACGGCCGAUGGUCCCCAAAGCAUGCGUCAUAAUGUAUUAGGGCAGAAUUUGAAACUAGCCUUUCAUGGGCACUGACGUCUGAGGCCUCCCAGAGACCACAAGCAGAUCCAUCCGUCUUGUGAUGGAGAGCGCGCUGAUGACACCACCCUCCUGGAAUGUGGAGACAAAGCCGGAGCAGUUGCACAAGCGGGGGGAAGACACAGGACCGUAAAUCAGGACGGGAGGCUGAACCACCAGAGGAGGUUCUCCAGAUCUAACCUCCUUCACACUUGUCAGACAUCUGGAAAGAGUUAUUUUUUCCCGUUACGGUAUCAAAGGUUUCGACCCUCCUAAAAACCACGGAAAUGCAACGACCACGAAUUGAACUUCUCUCCAUGUUUGUUAAUGAAUGUGCUGUUUUAGGAAGCUUUUCGCCUGAUGUGUAUAGACUGUGAGGAAUGUGCUAAUGCAGUGAGAUCUUCAUCAGAACGGGUCCAAAACAAAGAUUAAUCGACUCCACUG